AUUGAACGCUGGCGGCAGGCCUAACACAUGCAAGUCGAGCGGAUGAAGGGAGCUUGCUCCUGGAUUCAGCGGCGGACGGGUGAGUAAUGCCUAGGAAUCUGCCUGGUAGUGGGGGAUAACGUCCGGAAACGGGCGCUAAUACCGCAUACGUCCUGAGGGAGAAAGUGGGGGAUCUUCGGACCUCACGCUGUCAGAUGAGCCUAGGUCGGAUUAGCUAGUUGGUGGGGUAAAGGCCUACCAAGGCGACGAUCCGUAACUGGUCUGAGAGGAUGAUCAGUCACACUGGAACUGAGACACGGUCCAGACUCCUACGGGAGGCAGCAGUGGGGAAUAUUGGACAAUGGGCGAAAGCCUGAUCCAGCCAUGCCGCGUGUGUGAAGAAGGUCUUCGGAUUGUAAAGCACUUUAAGUUGGGAGGAAGGGCAGUAAGUUAAUACCUUGCUGUUUUGACGUCACCAACAGAAUAAGCACCGGCUAACUUCGUG
rnacentral:rRNA from 1 species